AGAGUUUGAUCCUGGCUCAGGAUGAACGCUAGCGAUAGGCUUAACACAUGCAAGUCGAGGGGCAGCAUGGUCUUAGCUUGCUAAGACUGAUGGCGACCGGCGCACGGGUGCGUAACGCGUAUGCAACUUGCCUCACAGAGGGGGAUAACCCGUCGAAAGACGGACUAAUACCGCGUACACUUAUUAGAGGGCAUCCUUUAGUAAGGAAAUGAAAUUCGCUGUGAGAUAGGCAUGCGUCCCAUUAGCUAGUUGGUGGGGUAACGGCUCACCAAGGCGACGAUGGGUAGGGGAACUGAGAGGUUGAACCCCCACACUGGUACUGAGACACGGACCAGACUCCUACGGGAGGCAGCAGUGAGGAAUAUUGGUCAAUGGGCGAGAGCCUGAACCAGCCAAGUCGCGUGAAGGAUGACUGUCUUAUGGAUUGUAAACUUCUUUUAUACGGGAAUAACAAGAGUCACGUGUGGCUCCCUGCAUGUACCGUAUGAAUAAACAUCGGCUAACUCCGUGCCAGCAGCCGCGGUAAUACGGAGGAUGCGAGCGUUAUCCGGAUUUAUUGGGUUUAAAGGGUGCGUACGCGGCCUGUUAAGUCAGCGGUGAAAUCUAGGAGCUUAACUCCUAAAUUGCCAUUGAUACUGGCGGGCUUGAGUGUAGAUGACGUAGGCGGAAUGCGUGAUGUACCGGUGGAAUGCAUAGAUAUCACGCAGAACUCCGAGUUGCGAAGGCAGCUUACUACGGUACAACUGACGUUGAAGCACGAAAGCGUGGGCUAUCAAACAGGAUUAGAUACGCUGGUAGUCCACGCUGUAAACGAUGAUAACUGGGCGUAUGCGAUAUACAGUAUGCUCCUAAGCGAAAGCGUUAAGUUAUCCACCUGGGGAGUACGCCGGCAACGGUGAAACUCAAAGGAAUUGACGGGGGCCCGCACAAGCGGAGGAACAUGUGGUUUAAUUCGAAGCAACGCGAAGAACCUUAUCAGGUCUUGACAUCCCUCUGACCGCUCUAGAGAUAGAGCUUUCCUUCGGGACAGAGGUGACAGGUGGUGCAUGGUUGUCGUCAGCUCGUGUCGUGAGAUGUUGGGUUAAGUCCCGCAACGAGCGCAACCCCUAUUGUUAGUUGCCAUCAUUCAGUUGGGCACUCUAGCGAGACUGCCGGUAAUAAACCGGAGGAAGGUGGGGAUGACGUCAAAUCAUCAUGCCCCUUAUGACCUGGGCUACACACGUGCUACAAUGGUUGGUACAACGAGUCGCAAGCCGGUGACGGCAAGCUAAUCUCUUAAAGCCAAUCUCAGUUCGGAUUGUAGGCUGCAACUCGCCUACAUGAAGUCGGAAUCGCUAGUAAUCGCGGAUCAGCACGCCGCGGUGAAUACGUUCCCGGGCCUUGUACACACCGCCCGUCACACCACGAGAGUUUGUAACACCCGAAGUCGGUGAGGUAACCUUUUAGGAGCCAGCCGCCUAAGGUGGGAUAGAUGAUUGGGGUGAAGUCGUAACAAGGUAACC
rnacentral:rRNA from 1 species